UGGAAGCCUCUUGAGUUCACCAAUUCCUAUCUUAUUUAGACAAGGCCAUAAUCAAAGUGGAACUUCUUGCCUCCCUUCAGAGAAAGGUCGCAGUUUCUUCAAAGUUACUGAUGCUUUUUGGCAUAUGAUGGCCUCUCCAUACUGAAUGAUUAGCUAUUUACUUCGUUGCAAGACCAGGAUGCUUAUUGGGAACAGAAGAAAAAGAAUGACAAAGCACUGAAAUAUCUUACCUUAAAAAAAAAAAAAAGGUUCUCAUGUCCUACAAGAACAGGGAGCUGAUGUGCUGAUGUAUAGUUUAGGAGCAGCCACAGCAAGAUACUUGGUUGACUGUGGAGAACAAAAUUACUAACAACAAAGUCAUUAAAUGAACACACAAAGAUAAAUUAUACAGCCUAGAUUACAUCCAAUAAUAUGAAUUCAGACUUCCUUUGGUGAGACAAUUGGUUCGGUCAACAUGCUUUUUUUCUGCUUUGUACUGUUUGUAUUUAGUGUUUGUGGUUUGAAUCAAGGGAUUGAUUUUCCCCCAAAUCUUAUUCAAGGUCAAAUUAAACAGAUGUGAUAGGAGUUGAAGUUUGUUACUGGGAGGAUAGAUAUGAUCAAUAACAUUGAUUUUACCAUUGCACAGUAAUCUAUUUUAUUAAGAGGAGUUUAAAACAAGGUUUCUAUUUGCAUUUGUGUUUCAAAUGCCUGGUAUUGGAAUGCAUUUACUGAAUUUAACCUAGCAUUUAGGAAGAAGGGCAGUAGCAUUUUCUUUCGAAUUCAUAGUAUUUGCUUAAUUUUCCAGAAUUUUAAGGAGUAAACAAAUCCAUUUGAUUCAGCAAGUUUACUGAUGUAUUCAGGUCAUUGAAUAAAGACUGCAAGGGCAAAGUGAAUUUUCACUGUAUUAUUUUAGUGGUCUAACAGGGGGCUUCAGGGUACCUUUCCUGUUGAAUGAUUUAAUGGCAUUAAUCCAACAGGCUCUUUCACACACAGGCUUGUGCACAUUCAUAUCCAUUACUGAACAAAAAUGUUGUGUGAUGAAAAGGUCAGCAGCAACGCUGGAAAGGUGAUUAACUGUUGACUGAGGCUGCAGCGAGCUUAGUGCCAAACAGCACAACCAGCCGUAGCGAGGGCCACAGCAGGCUGGUCCUGCAGCUCCGUAGCCACUCUCUCUCCCUCUGUUCUUGUUUCAGCAAUACCCAGAAUCUGGAAGGACUCAGGACUUCUGCUCCUGCUCUCACCACCACUGAAUGUUAAUACACAAUGCAUGAAUUUCCCAAGAGAGAAAAGCAAGAUUUUUUAAGCCAGAAACCUCCUGCUGAAGCAGCCUAGAGGGGGGUUCCAAGAGAGGCAAACCUGAUUUCUAACAUUUAUUGAAUGCUCA